rnacentral:lncRNA from 10 species
GCACUAUAAUGCCCAAGCUGGAUUGAACUCCUGGGCUCAAGCAAUCCUCCACCAUAGCUGGGACUACAGGUGCAUGUCACCACACCUGCCUUCAAAUCUUUUAUUGUGGGAAACUCUUCCUUAAUGUAUUGACAUUUCUUUCUGCUUGAUUUAUUCUCCGACAGCUUCAGGGGUAUCAAUUAUUGGCAUACUAGAUUGACUGUAUUCCCUAUCUGUCACUCUCUCUCUAGUCUUUCUUCAUUUUUAUUUGUUCCAUUUUGGGUUGCUCAAAUUUCUCAAGCUUGCUUCCAUUACCCCCAGCUAUAGUUGAUAUUUGCACUUUGAAUGUUUCUGCAAUGUUACUUUUCUCUUAUUUUGUACCCUGAUUCCAUCAGCUCACUCUUACAAUACUUCUGUUGUCUUCUUUUAUUUCUCGAGCUUUUAUAUCUCAUCUUUAAACUCUAGUUUCAGAGGAGGUAUGUCUCACCCCCACCUUCCACCAUAGGAACUAUUUUUUCACUUUCCCUUGAGGCUUGACUCCAUGCUGGACUAUGUUCCCUAACUCACAGGAGCCCACAUGGCAUAGAUUUGGGGGUGGGGUGAUAAUUUAGGCUUUACUUCUCUUCACAUGACCAAGAUCAGGAGCUGAAAGGCUGCUUGCUGCCAGUUUCUCCUCCACUCUGAACUUCCUACAAAACUGGUAGGACUGCACAGUUUGCAACUCAGCCCCACCUCUCCUGCCACUCAGGGAGCCCAACAUACAUAUAUCCAACUUUGCCAUCCAUGCAUGGGGAUUACUGGUUUUGUCCUCGGGGUGUGUCACUUUCUUGAGAGAAAGCUUCUUCCUUUGCUUUGCCUGGUUCUACAGAGGAAAUCAUCCUCUCUUGGCAUCCUCUCUUGCCCUGGUUCAAUUUUCACUGCACUUAAUAGCACUAAUUUAUAUAUUUUGGGUUUUUUGGGAGGGUUUUGUUUGGUUUUUUUUUGAGACAGAGUCUCGCUCUGUCACCCAGGCUGGAGUGAAGUGGUACAAUCUCAGCUCAGUGCAACCUCUGCCCCUUGGAUCAAGCCAUUUUCCUGCCUCAGCCUCCU